AAGGGAACUAUGGGUCCCACCUCCAGAGACUUGUCCGUUUUGCUCAAAAGCCUUGAUUUCCGAACACUGAUAACCGCACGAAGUCAUGCCCACUUGGCAUAGUGGUCGUUCCACAGGCCAUGGCGCUGGAGCACCGCUUGCUUGAACUCGUCGAGCACUUGAUUUUUCUCGUUACUCUCUUGCUCUCAUCUUCUUCCUUUCUACUACGAUCCUGUAGAUCUACUUUCUUUCAGCUCCUACUGAACGUUUCUACAACCGGUUGCCGCAAGUCGACGUCCUCGAGUAUCGACUGGUAUUACGCUAGUUUCACUGAUUCUUUCCAUGUCGCUCCAAUUUGUGGCAGCCAAGAAAACCCCAAUGAAGGUCGAUGCAGUUCAUGAAAUGGAGGAAAUCCCCUGCUUUGCAAGAAAAGAUUUCUUAAAAAGGAUUGGUAUUGCAAAAUCCGCUUUUACUCAAGUCACAGCUCCGCUUGAGACAAAAGAAGGGUCCAUUUUUGUUGUUAAUGUGAGCAACGAACAAGACACAACUUAUUUUCUGUGACUACCGAAAAGUGCGAUGCCUAACAUCAUAGAUGAAGCAGGCUUUAUCAAGAUUAUUUUGGAUCCCACUGCAGAAUUCACAUGUAAGUACACAUGCUCAGUCGAUGAUCGUGUCAUUGUCAACGGAUGGACAGAAAUACUCAAGCUGGCAAGAUUUAAAGUUGGAGAGAAACUCUUGUUCAUCAAGCACGAGGAUACUAAAGGGGGUCUCCUAUUUGUUGUUCCACUUAGAUUUAUCUUAGUUCCAACUGUAUGAAGAAACCCUAUGUGUAGGGGAACAUUGCAUGAAAAACAAAAAAAUCCUACGA